rnacentral:rRNA from 2 species
GGGGGCUUGACUGCGAGACUGACAAGUCGAGCAGGGACGAAAGUCGGGCUUAGUGAUCCGGUGGUUCCGUAUGGAAGGGCCAUCGCUCAACGGAUAAAAGCUACCCUGGGGAUAACAGGCUUAUCUCCCCCAAGAGUCCACAUCGACGGGGAGGUUUGGCACCUCGAUGUCGGCUCAUCGCAUCCUGGGGCUGUAGUCGGUCCCAAGGGUUGGGCUGUUCGCCCAUUAAAGCGGUACGCGAGCUGGGUUCAGAACGUCGUGAGACAGUUCGGUCCCUAUCCGUCGCGGGCGCAGGAAAUUUGAGAGGAGCUGUCCUUAGUACGAGAGGACCGGGAUGGACGUUCCGCUGGUGUACCAGUUGUGCCGCCAGGCGCAUCGCUGGGUAGCUAUGAACGGAAGGGAUAAACGCUGAAAGCAUCUAAGUGUGAAGCCCCCCUCGAGAUGAGAUUUCCCAUUCCUAUAUGGAAGUAAGACCCCUGAAAGAUGAUCAGGUAGAUAGGCUGGAAGUGGAAGUGCAGCGAUGCAUGGAGCGGACCAGUACUAAUCGGUCGAGGACUUAACCAAG